CAGUAGCCGCGGGAAUACGGAGGGUGCAAGCGUUAAUCGGAAUUACUGGGCGUAAAGCGCACGCAGGCGGUCUGACAAGUCAGAUGUGAAAUCCCCGGGCUUAACCUGGGAACUGCAUUUGAAACUGUCAGGCUGGAGUCUUGUAGAGGGGGGUGGAAUUCCAGGUGUAGCGGUGAAAUGCGUAGAGAUCUGGAGGAAUACCGGUGGCGAAGGCGGCCCCCUGGACAAAGACUGACGCUCAGGUGCGAAAGCGUGGGGAGCAAACAGGAUUAGAUACCCGCGUAGUCCCUGUCUCUUAUAC
rnacentral:rRNA from 1 species